rnacentral:lncRNA from 1 species
ACAUUCUGAUUCUGUCGCCAAUUCGUAAUCGCUGCCAGCGCGGCCGUAAAUAAGCAGGUAAGGUGUAUUCAUUGUCAAACCUUGUGUAAGGGAUGUUGCACUGUCACUGUGUCGUGCCUGAGCAUACUUCGUUUUCCUUGUCCAUACAUGGUGAGCAUUGAUCCCCGUGAUUUGUGAUGCUGCCUGCAGGAUGGGGCGUCACUACCUGGGCCCAGUGGAAUACCUGCAGUACAUCAGGGAGAACAAGCAGGUGUGGACCAUGGUAGGCUAUAGUGGCAUACAGGAGUACAUGUGAUGGAUGUGUUUACAAUUAUCCCUUGAUACACCCAGGAUACUACAGAAUGUCAGUGCAGCAGACUCAUGGUAUGGAAGUCAACAUUUUCAUUCACGGUAUACACGUCGGGAAGCUGGCCCUGUGGGUGGCCAUUGCAUUGCCAGAGGACCAAUACCCCACAAAAGCAUGCAACUAUGCCAGAGGCAGGGUUGUAAAAAGUACCUGACCAUGUAUAUGAUGUAGCACCUCAUGUCCCUUAGUAGCAACUUUUGCCUGUGCUCACCAUAUAUGACACUCUUACUGACCAAC